rnacentral:rRNA from 1 species
GUGUCAGCCGCCGCGGUAAUACGUAGGGACCAAGCGUUGUUCGGAUUUACUGGGCGUAAAGGGUGCGUAGGCGGCGUGUCAAGUCAGUUGUGAAAUCUUAAGGCUUAACCUUAAGCGGUCAACUGAUACUGUCAUGCUAGAGUGCAGAAGGGGCAAUCGGAAUUCUUGGUGUAGCGGUGAAAUGCGUAGAUAUCAAGAGGAACACCUGAGGUGAAGACGGGUUGCUGGGCUGACACUGACGCUGAGGCACGAAAGCUAGGGUAGCAAACGGGAUUAGAAACCCCCGUAGUCC